rnacentral:rRNA from 1 species
CAUGCAAGUCGAGCGGUAGCACAGAGAGCUUGCUCUCGGGUGACGAGCGGCGGACGGGUGAGUAAUGUCUGGGAAACUGCCUGAUGGAGGGGGAUAACUACUGGAAACGGUAGCUAAUACCGCAUAAUGUCGCAAGACCAAAGUGGGGGACCUUCGGGCCUCAUGCCAUCAGAUGUGCCCAGAUGGGAUUAGCUAGUAGGUGGGGUAACGGCUCACCUAGGCGACGAUCCCUAGCUGGUCUGAAAGGAUGACCAG